rnacentral:rRNA from 1 species
AUGGUUGCUGCUCCAGAAGAGUAUAAAGUAUCAUUAGCUCAACUAUAUAUGGUGGAUGAAGCUGAUGUUUGGUUAAGAAGAUCUGGGCUGCUCAAGAAACAACUGUCCUGGAAACAAUUUGGGGCAGAGAUAGUGAAGAGGUUCUCAGAACAAGGAUCCUAUGAUCUAACCGAAAAAUUCACUUCUUUGAAACAAGCAAACAGUACAGUGUCUGCAUAUACAAAGCAAUUUGAGGACCUGAUGGCAGAAGUCAUGGAGGAAAACCCUGACUUAGGAGAAACUUGGUUCAUAAGGUGCUAUGUAAAAAUGGUCUCAGGGAUGGAAUUAAAUUUCAGUUGA